AGUGAACGCUGGCGGCAGGCCUAACACAUGCAAGUCGAGCGGCAGCGCGUCCGACCACCCGCGGGUGGUCGGAUGGCGGCGAGCGGCGGACGGGUGAGGAAUGCAUCGGAAUCUGCCUCGUUGUGGGGGAUAACGUAGGGAAACUUACGCUAAUACCGCAUACGACCUACGGGUGAAAGUGGGGGGACCUUCGGGCCUCACGCGAUGAGAUGAGCCGAUGCCGGAUUAGCUAGUUGGCGGGGUAAAGGCUCACCAAGGCGACGAUCUGUAGCGGGUCUGAGAGGAUGAUCCGCCACACUGGAACUGAGACACGGUCCAGACUCCUACGGGAGGCAGCAGUGGGGAAUUUUGGACAAUGGGCGCAAGCCUGAUCCAGCCAUGCCGCGUGAGUGAAGAAGGCCUCGGUU
rnacentral:rRNA from 1 species